rnacentral:rRNA from 1 species
CAUGUCUAGAGUUUGAAAGAUGGUUCUGCUAUCACUCUUGGAUGGACCUGCGGUGCAUUAGCUAGUUGGUAAGGUAACGGCUUACCAAGGCAAUGAUGCAUAGCCGAGUUGAGAGACUGAUCGGCCACAUUGGGACUGAGACACGGCCCAAACUCCUACGGGAGGCAUCAGUAGGGAAUCUUCCACAAUGGACGAAAGUCUGAUGGAGCAACGCCGCGUGAGUGAAGAAGGGUUUCGGCUCGUAAAGCUCUGUUGGUAGUGAAGAAAGAUAGAGGUAGUAACUGGCCUUUAUUUGACGGUAAUUACU